GUUUUACUUUAUGGCGUAACUGGUAUUAAGAGAAUGUAAUGGUCUAAAGCCUUAGUUAUAGCGGCAUAGUCUUAGUCAGCGCACGCGACUCAGUAAUGUUGCAAAAGUGUUAAAAAAUUUAAAUCACCACCGUUAUUUGUCAGAUAAAAUGACUUACGCCACAAUUAUCUUCUUGGCUGUUAUAACUUCUCAAACAUACUCAGCACCACAGUUUAUAUCAUUUAAAGAUGGAAAACUAGGAGUAAAUUUUGGUGGAUAUCAUGCUGGUGUAGGGAUUGGUGGUCUAUUAGGCGGUAGCGGUGGGGCAGGAGGCUUGUAUGCCGAAGCCGGAACACCUUCAGGUCAAGCAGCUAGGGCCGGCUUAGGUGGUGUAGUAAGUGAACAUGGUGGCUCUUCAGGCGGUCUUUAUGCGGGAGCCACUGCAGGCGGAAACAUCAGGGCGCAAGCAGGUCUGGCGGGUGGUGUAACUGCAGAAAAAUCUGCCGGAGGAGGUUUUGCAUCUGCCCAAGCUGGACCCAAUCAUGCAACUUCCGGGCUGGGCGGAGAAACAACUUUAGAAGGGUCUUCAGGAUUUUCUUUCUCAAGUAAUAAAGAAAUUCUAAAGCCGGUUUACUCAAAUAAAAAUUUUGAAACUGGAUUUAAAUUUAAUGCCGUUAAUGAAGUAAAACCAUUAAGUGGAGUUGAUAUUUCAAAAGAAGUUCAUUUGCAACAAAACGAGCAACCAGUUAUCGUGAAAGAAGUAUUUGUACCUCAGAAGACAAAAUAUGUUGAGAAAGAAAUAAUACACACGCAUCACAAGCCCCACAGACAUCAUUUCCGUAAAACUGCAUUUUUGGGGGGUUACAUCGGAAAUCAAGGUGAUGUGGUAGCUCCUGCUUCAUCAGUGAUACAUAAAACCGUAGAGCCGUCUAUAAAAAAAAGAAUCGAUGUCGAAACGGAAACCGCAGUUCAUUCUGGAGCAGGAGCUGCAAUCGAUGGAAGUGCAAAUGGAGGUGGAAAUAUCGCUUACAGAAAGGAAGUGUCUAUACAAAAAAGUCCAACGUUUUUCGCUGAUAUUUUUAACAUUCCAAUUUCGGCAUUAAAAGCAGUCGGUGAUUUUCUCGGCAACACAGCUGCUAAUACAAAUAUAUCAGUUCAAAAAUCAGCGUCUGUUCAAGCAGAAUCUGAUGAGAUAUCAUUAAAACAUGAUCCAUUAUCAUCACCAUCACCAUCAUCAUAUGAAUCAUCUGCCUCACAUAUAAAAGUCGAAACACCGAGCGCUUCAAAAAUAAUUGGCGACAUAUUUGCCGUAAGUAAAUUGUAAUUGAAUAUUCCCUUAUUUUCAUCACAACAGGAGUCAUAGUAUAUAUUUUUUUAAGAAGGUAUUUCUCACUCAAUGAUAAUGCUUCACCCACUAAAGUAUUUUGAUUUAAAUAUGUCAAAUAUUAUUUAUUUAUACAUAGUAUCACUACAAACUUAUAUUUUACUAUUAGAGCAAGAUCCCAGGGCGGUCAGACGUCACCUAUUUUCUGACGGUUGAAAUGUGGACAAUUGAGUAGCGUUGGUAUGUACUAUGAUUGUAUGCCUAUCUGCUAGCUUGGUCAAAUGGCCAAUAUUUCAGGUAUCAUUUGAUCAAGGUACAUAAUAAUAUAACUUACUUGACGUAAAUUCUCUUGGUGAAAUUUCAUAUGUUUUAAAAUAAGUUGCCAGCCCUAGGAUUUUGGACUAUAUGAUUUAUACACUUAUGUAUGUGUAGUCAAAGUUUUCACUUCGAUAUAAUUUUCUUUAAUUAAAACGGUUAUAAUAUUAUAGAAACAGCAAUUUUUAUUUCACUUAAAACAGUCACAGGCGUCGUUUUAUGAUACAGUAAUUUAAAUAAUACGAGUAAAUAAUAUUCGUAUUCAGCCACAUGGGUUUUGAAAAUUCCAAUUAACACUUUGGGCGCUGUUAAUAAAUUUCUAGAAAAUAAUGUUGCAGGUAGAAAAAAUGUACAGGUAAAUGAAGAUGGAACUAUCGAAAGACGGGUCAGAUUGGGCCCUCACGCCAGGAGGAGAGCUAACAAGCACGUUGUUAUAGUACAAGAACAAGGGCCAGAAGAAAAAACAAAGUAGAUAAUUUGUAAUUAUUAUUUUUAAAUAAAGCGUCGAAGAACACAA